rnacentral:tRNA from 1 species
GCCUAUAGCUCAGUUGGUCAGAGCAGUCGACUCAUAAUCGAUUGGUCGUAGGUUCAAGUCCUACUGGGCCC